rnacentral:rRNA from 1 species
AUGCGUAGAUAUCAAGAGGAACGCCGGUGGUGAAGACGGUGCACUGGGCCUGACCUGACGCUGAGACACGAAAGCGUGGGGAGCGAACGGGAUUAGAUACCCCGGUAGUCCACGCCGUAAACGAUGUCUACUAGGUUGUGGCGGUUCUGACGCCGGCACAGCCGAAGCAAAAGUGUUAAGUAGACCGCCUGGGGAGUACGGUCGCAAGGCUAAAACUCAAAGGAAUUGACGGGGGCUCACACAAGCGGUGGAGCAUGUGGAUUAAUUCGAAGCAACGCGCAGAACCUUACCUGGGUUUGACAUGCUUGGAUGCCGCCCUGGANACAGGGUUGGCUGCCCUCGGGUGAACAUUGCACAGGUGCUGCAUGGCUGUCGUCAGCUCGUGUCGUGAGAUGUCGGGUUAAGUCCUNUAACGAGCGAACCCCUUACCGUUAGUGCACAGCGGGUCAGNCCGGGGACUCUAACGGGACUGCCGGUGUAACACGGAGGAAGGUGGGGAUGACGUCAAGUCAUCAUGGCAUNUAUGCCCAGGGCAUCACACGUGCUACAAUGUCNGGGACAGAGCGACGCGAGACCGUGAGNUGGAGCCAAUCGCAAAACCCCGCCACCGGUUCGGAUGCAGNNCUGCAACUCGCAUGCAUGAAGNUGGAUCGCUAGUAUCGCGUAUCAGCUAUGACGCGGUGAAUGUGUUCCUGAGCAUGUACACACCGCCCGUCAAGUGAUGGAGUUGGA